CAAUCAUUCGGCGGGCAAUCAUUAUUUGUUUAAGGAAUAUGUUCUUCAAAUGGCAUUUCACUGCUACUGUGAAUACUUGCAACUGAUGGCAAAUGCAGGGUAUGAGAAAUCCGAAAAGAGUGUAGCAGGAAGGUAUUUGAAGGUUUGUUAGGCUGAAGAGGAGAUGAUUGGAAGCUGAAAUCUCAAAGGAGCUUGAAAUUUCUCACAAAUGGCAGAAGUUCCUUCUAUUAUGGCGGCAUUAUAUUGCCAACCACAUCUUUUCUAAAUACUUGUCUCCAGGUGGACAACCAGGAUUCUUACAAUAUCGGACGUCAGCUUUCCAUUGGCGUCUGGUGAAAAGCAUAGGCAGCUGGGUCCGAGCCGGAAGUGAAGAUGAAACAUUCAGGGUAUAUCUAUUUAUCACUUAAUUUUAAUUUUAGAUUUUGUUUGGGAUGUCUUUAUUACUACUUACAACAGCUUUUAAAAGCUGCUUCUUAAAGCAGUAAAAAAGCCGUCCUAAACGAAACCUUAAUUGCCAGUGAAGCACUAUCUAGAUUGUAUUUUUGGCUCAAGUAUUAUUGAGAUUGUUGCAAUUCAAUGAGUUCUCAGCAUUUCAGUGCUUUGUAGGCUGCGUUUGAUAAUGCUGAUGAUUUAAAAAAAGUUCUUGAUAUACUUAAUAUAUGAGGGGAUUUGUCUGUGA